rnacentral:misc_RNA from 1 species
CAGAGAACGUCGCCCUCGCGGGUGUAUCUCCAACCCUAUGUUAUUAUAACUUUGUUGCUUUGGCGAGCCGCCUCGGCCACCGGCUUUUGCUGGUGAGUGCUCGCCAGAGGACCCAAAACUCUGAAUAUUAAUGUCGUCUGAGUACUAUAUAAUAGUUA